rnacentral:rRNA from 1 species
AUUGAACGCUGGCGGCGUGCUUAACACAUGCAAGUCGUGCGGUAACAGGCGUAGCAAUACGUGCUGACGAGCGGCGAACGGGUGCGUAAUACAUGGGAAUCUGCCCUUUAGUGGGGAAUAACCCGGCGAAAGCCGGGCUAAUGCCGCAUAAGAUCUUCGGAUGAAAGCGGGGGAUCGUAAGACCUCGCGCUGAUGGAUGAGCCCAUGCCGGAUUAGCAGUUGGUGAGGUAACGGCUCACCAAGGCGACGAUCCGUAGCUGGUCUGAGAGGACGGCCAGCCACACUGGGACUGAGACACGGCCCAGACUCCUACGGGAGGCAGCAGUGGGGAAUAUUGGACAAUGGGGGAAACCCUGAUCCAGCGACGCCGCGUGUGUGAAGAA